AACGAACGCUGGCGGCAGGCCUAACACAUGCAAGUCGAGCGAGAUCUUCGGGUCUAGCGGCGGACGGGUGAGUAACGCGUGGGAAUAUGCCUCUUGGUACGGAAUAGCCUCGGGAAACUGGGAGUAAUACCGUAUGUGCCCUUGGGGGGAAAGAUUUAUCGCCAAGAGAUUAGCCCGCGUUGGAUUAGGUAGUUGGUGGGGUAAUGGCCUACCAAGCCGACGAUCCAUAGCUGGUUUGAGAGGAUGAUCAGCCACACUGGGACUGAGACACGGCCCAGACUCCUACGGGAGGCAGCAGUGGGGAAUCUUAGACAAUGGGGGCAACCCUGAUCUAGCCAGGCCGCGUGAGUGAUGAAGGCCUUAGGGUUGUAAAGCUCUUUCAGCUGGGAAGAUAAUGACGGUACCAGCAGAAGAAGCCCCGGCUAACUCCGUG
rnacentral:rRNA from 1 species